UACAGAGGUGGCAAGCGUUGUUCGGAAUUACUGGGCGUAAAGGGCGCGUAGGCGGUCUUAUAAGUCUCGUGUGAAAUCCCUCGGCUUAACUGAGGAACUGCACGGGAUACUGCAAGACUUGAGUUCGGGAGAGGGAAGCGGAAUUCCGGGUGUAGCGGUGAAAUGCGUAGAUAUCCGGAGGAACACCGGUGGCGAAGGCGGCUUCCUGGACCGACACUGACGCUGAGGCGCGAAAGCUAGGGGAGCAAACGGG
rnacentral:rRNA from 1 species